GACGAACGCUGGCGGCGUGCUUAACACAUGCAAGUCGAACGGAAAGGCCUGCUUUCCCUUGUGGAUUUCGGGUACUCGUGUGGCGAACGGGUGAGUAACACGGGAGUGAUCUGCCCCCAACUUGGGUAUAAUCCUGGGAAAAUGGGUCUAAUUCCCGAUAGUACUACAGGUUGGUGCCUGUGGUGGGAAACGUUUUUCUAGUGGGUUGGGAUGAGCUCGCGGCCUAUCAGCUUGUUGGUGGGGUAAUGGCCUACCAAGGCGGCGACGGGUAGCCGGCCGGAGAGGGUGGACGGCCACAUUGGGACUGAGAUACGGCCCAGACUCCUACGGGAGGCAGCAGUGGGGAAUAUUGCACAAUGGGCGGAAGCCUGAUGCAGCGACGCCGCGUGGGGGAUGACGGCCUUCGGGUUGUAAACUCCUUUCGACCGCGAGGAAGCCACCUGGUUGGAAGGGUGGUGACGGUAGUGGUAGAAGAAGCACCGGCUAACUACGUG
rnacentral:rRNA from 1 species